GUGAGGAAACAUUCUUCCUUUGACUUUUGAAGACAUGGUUUCAUGUAUCCCAGGCUGGCCUCAAACUUACUAAGAAGUCCUGGCAACCUUGAAUUUUCCUCAUCUUCCUGCCUCUGCCUCUAUAGUGCUGGGAUGAGAGGCUCACACCACUCUGCCCCAUUUACAUAGUGCUGGGCAUCCCAGCCAGAGCUUCCACCAUGCUGGGCAAGUGCUCCGUCACAUCAUAAUCAUCUUUAAUUUGAUGAAGGAAUUCUCAGCACCAAUGUUGUUUUGGAUAUUCAGGCCCUAGUGACCUCAACUAGGAAGAUUUAAGACCUGGCUGACUUCAGAUGAUGUCACCAACAUUUUGAAAUGGUUUUUCCCCUGCUGCAGCGAUCAGGAAUGAAAAAGUAACUUCAGAGCACGCCAUAGCCAGCCCAGAGAGAAUCUGUUUUCCUGGGGAAACCAAACCAAAGCAUUGGAUAAAUCUCAAGACACCUGAAGUAUCUGGAUUCAGGAUCAUGACAUCAACUACAGAUCUAGAGACUGUGAGGGAAAGACAACUCCUAAAGAUGUCUCUCGCAGAACAGGGCUGUGGAAAUGAAGGCAGAAGUCAUCACGUGAGAACGUGGGUCAAACAAACUGUGAGUCCCUUCACCUAAGCAUGGAAUACCUGGCUGAUUUAAGAAGAGAAGAAACUUCAUCAUUCUUGAGCAUCUAACAGAGAGAGCUUAACUUUAAAAUCUGCAUAUCCUGCUGUGAUUAUUUGUAUGUGUUCGGGUCAGGGAGUGGCACUAUUAGAAGGUGUGGCCCUGUUGGAGUGGGUGUGGCCCUGUUGGAGUGGGUGUGGCCUUUUUGGAGUAGGUGUGACCCUGUUGGAGUAGGUGUGGCCUUGUUGGAGUAGGUGUGGCCCUGUUGGAGUAGGUGUGGCCUUGUUGGAGUAGGUGUGGCCCUGUUGGAGUAGGUGUGGCCUUGUUGGAGUAGGUAUGUCACUGUAGGUGUGGGCUUUAAGACCCUCAUCCUGUAAGUCAGUCUUCCACUAGCAGCCUUCAGAUAGAUGUAGAACUCUCAGCUCCUCCUGCACCAUGCCUGCCUGGAUGCUGCCAUGCUCUGGCCUUGAUGAUAAUGAACUGAACCUCUGAACCCAUAAACCAGCCCAAAUUAAAUCUUGUCCUUAUAAGAGUUGCCUUGGUCAUGGUGUCUGUUCAUAGCAGUAAAACCCUAACAAGACCCCUGCUGAGCUUAGACAUAGGGUGGGAAAAAAACUACCGAGUUAUUUUUGGCUCAUGAAAGUCAAUCUGGAGGUAGCAUAGUGACCAUUGACAAGAGAAGACAUCAUUUAUCCUCCUGGUGAGUCUUUAUUUUUUUUAUGAGUGGUCAAUAUGGAUUGUCCGGUGGGAAAGACAUUUGGAUAACUGCCAAUUCAGAGCCUAAAGGACAAUCUGGGUAUCACCAGAACUUGUGAGACUCCACGGAAAAUUUUAUUUUCUCAGCCAAAGGACAGAGGUGAAACUUUGAAAACACACAUUUAAGUGGAAGAGAGUUUGUAGCUUGCAGAUGGACAGGAUGCAAGAACAGCUGUCCAUCUCUCUGAGCCUCAUCUUCAGUUCUUUCUUUGUGUGGCUCCCUCUUCAUUGGAGUAUAGAUGG